AUGCACACACAUAGAGAAAGACACACACAAACACACAUUUACGUGCAUGCACACACAGACAAACACACACAUAUACAUGUGCAUACACACACAUACAUGCACUCUGUACACUCAGACAGUCAAAACCUAGUAAGAGCAGCAGUAGCCACAGGAGUAGCAGCAGCAGGGGUAGUAGCAGUAGUAGUAGUAGAAGUAGUAGUAGUAAUAGUAGUAGUAGAAGUAGUGGUAGUAGUAGUAACAGUAGCAGUAGUAGUAGUAGUAGUAGUAGUUGUAGUAGAAGUAGAAGUAGUAGUAGUAGUAACAGUAGCAGUAGUAGUAGUAGUAACAGUAGCAGUAAUAGUAGUAGUAGUAGCAGUAAUAGUACUACUAGUAGUAGUAGUAGCAGUAAUAGCAGUAGUAGCAGUAGUAGCAGUAGUAGUAGUAGUAGUAGUAGAAGUAGUAGUAGUAGCAGCAGUACUAGUAGUAGUAAAAGUAGCAGCAGGAGCAGCAGUAGUAACAGCAGUAGCAGUAGUAACAGUAGUUGCAGUAGCAACAGUAGUUGCAGUAGUAGUAACAGCAGCAGUAGUAGUAACAGCAGCAGCAGCAGUAGUAGUAACACCAGCAGCAGCAGUAGUAGUAACAGCAGCAGCAGUAGUAGUAACAGCAGCAGUAGUAGUAACAGCAGCAGUAGUAGUAGUAACAGCAGCAGUAGUAGUAACAGCAGCAGUAGUAGUAGUAACAGCAGCAGUAGUAGUAACAGCAGUAGUAGUAGUAACAGCAGCAGUAGUAGUAGUAACAGCAGCAGUAGUAGUAACAGCAGCAGCAGUAGUAGUAACAGCAGCAGUAGUAGUAACAGCAGCAGUAGUAGUAGUAACAGCAGCAGUAGUAGUAACAGCAGUAGUAGCAGCAAUAGUAACAGCAUCAGCAGCAGUAGUAGUAGUAGUAGUAACAGCAGCAGUAGUAGUAGUAGUAGUAACAGCAGCAGUAGUAGUAACAGCAGCAGUAGUAGUAGUAACAGCAGCAGUAGUAGUAACAGCAGUAGUAGCAGCAAUAGUAACAGCAUCAGCAGCAGUAGUAGUAGUAGUAGUAGUAGUAACAGCAGCAGUAGUAGUAGUAGUAGUAACAGCAGCAGUAAUAGCAGCAGCAGCAGUAAUAGUAACAACAGUAGCAAUAGUAGUAGUAACAGCAGCAGCAGCAGCAAUAGUAACAGCAUCAGCAGCAGUAGUAGUAGUAGUAGUAACAGCAGCAGUAGUAGUAGUAGUAGUAACAGCAGCAGUAGUAGUAGUAGUAGUAACAGCAUCAGCAGCAGUAGUAGUAGUAGUAGUAACAGCAGCAGUAGUAGUAGUAGUAGUAACAGCAGCAGUAAUAGCAGCAGCAGCAGUAAUAGUAACAACAGUAGCAAUAGUAGUAGUAACAGCAGCAGUAAUAGUAACAGCAGCAGUAGUAGUAGUAGUAGUAGUAACAUCAGCAGUAAUAGUAACAGCAGCAGUAGUAGUAGUAGUAACAGCAGCAGUAGUAGUAACAGUAGUAGCAGUAGUAGCAGUAGUAGUAGUAGUAGUAGCAGUAGUAGUAACAGUAGUAACAGCAGCAGUAGUAGUAGCAGUAGUAACUGCAGCAGCAGGAGUAGUAGUAACAGCAGCAGUAGUAGUAACAGCAGAAGUAGUAGUAACAGUAGUAGCAGUAGUAACAGCAGCAGCAGUAGUAGUAGUAACAGCAGUAGUAGUAGUAACUUUAGUAACAGUAGCAGCAGUAAUAGUAACAGCAGCAGCAGCAGUAGUAGUAGUAACAUCAUCCGUAGUAGAAGUAACAGCAGCAGUAUUAGUGGUAACAGCAGCAGCAUCAGUAGUAGUAACAUUAGCAGCAGUAGUAGUAACAGCAGCAGCAGCAGUAGUAGUAACAUUAGCAGCAGUAGUAGUAGUAACAGCAGCAGUAGUAGUAACAGCAGUAGCAGCAGAAGAAGUAACAGCAGCAGUAGUAGUAAAAACAGCAGUAGUAGUAACAUUAGCAGCAGUAGUAGUAGUAACAGCAGCAGUAGUAGUAACAGCAGUAGCAGCAGAAGAAGUAACAGCAGCAGUAGUAGUAAAAACAGCAGCAGUAAUGGUAACAGCAGCAGCAGCAGUAGUAGUAACAGUAGUUGCAGUAGUAGCGGUAGUAACAGCAGCAGUAGUAGUAACAGCAACAGUAGUAGUAACAGUAGUUGCAGUAGUAGCAGCAGUAGUAGUAACAGCAGCAGCAGUAGUCAUAGUAACAGCAGCAGUAGUAGUAACAGCAGUAGCAGUAGUAGUAACAGCAGCAGUAGUAGUAGUAACAGCAGCAGUAGUAGUAACAGCAGUAGCAGUAGUAGUAACAGCAGCAGUAGUAAUAGUAACAGCAGCAGUAGUAGUAACAGCAGCAGAAGCAGUAGUAGUAACAGCAGCAGCAGUAGUAGUAACAGCAGCAGUAGUAGUAACAGCAGCAGUAGUAACAGUAGUAGUAGUAAUAGUAACAGAAGCAGUAGUAGUAACAGUAGUAGCAGCAGCAGUAGUAGUAACAGUAGUAGCAGCAGCAGUAGUAGCAACAGCAGCAGCAGCAGCAGUUGUACGAUCAGCAGCAGUAGUAGUAGUAACAGAAGCAGUAGUAGUAACAGCAGCAGUAGUAGUAACAGCAGCAGCAGCAGCAGUUGUACGAUCAGCAGCAGUAGUAGUAGUAACAGAAGCAGUAGUAGUAACAGCAGCAGCAGUAGUCAUAGUAACAGCAGCAGUAGUAGUAACAGCAGUAGCAGUAGUAGUAACAGCAGCAGUAUUAGUAGUAACAGCAGCAGUAGUAGUAACAGCAGUAGCAGUAGUAGUAACAGCAGCAGUAGUAAUAGUAACAGCAGCAGUAGUAGUACCAGCAGCAGAAGCAGUAGUAGUAACAGCAGCAGUAGUAGUAGUAACAGCAGCAGUAGUAGUAACAGCAGUAGCAGUAGUAGUAACAGCAGCAGUAGUAAUAGUAACAGCAGCAGUAGUAGUAACAGCAGCAGAAGCAGUAGUAGUAACAGCAGCAGCAGUAGCAGCAGUAGUAGUAACAGCAGUUAUAGUAGCAGCAGCAGCGGUAGCAGUAGUAGUAAGAGCUGCAGUAGUAGUAGUAACAGCAGCAGCAGUAGCAGUAGUAGUAACAGUAGCAGCAGUAGUAGUAGUAGUAACAGCAACAGCAUUAGAAGCAACAGUAGGAGCAGUAGUUGCAGCAGCAGUAAUAUUAACAGCAGCAGCAGCAGUAGUAGUAACAGCAGCAGCAGUAGUAGUAGCAGCUGUAGUAGUAGCAGUAGCAGUAGUAGUAGUAGCAGCUGCAGCAGUAGUAGUAGCAGUAGCAUUAGCAGUAGUAACACUAGCAGCAGCAGCAGUAGUAGUAGUAGUAACAGUAGCAGUAGCAGUAACAGUAACAGCAGCAGUAGCAGCAGCAGCAGCAGUAGUAGUAGCAGUAUUAGUAGCAGCAGUAGUAGUAACACUAGCAGUAGUAGCAGUAGCAGCAGCAGUAGUAGCAGUAACAGUAGCAGUAACAGUAGCAGCAGUAGUAGUAGAAGCAGCAGUAGUAGCAGUAACAGUAGCAGCAGCAGCAGUAGUAGCAGUAUUAGUAGCAGCAGUAGUAGUAACACUAGCAGUAGUAGCAGUAGCAGCAGCAGUAGUAGCAGUAACAGUAGCAGUAACAGUAGCAGCAGUAGUAGUAGAAGCAGCAGUAGUAGCAGUAACAGUAGCAGCAGCAGUAGUAGUAGUAGAAGUAGCAGUAGCAGUAGUAGUAGAAGUAGCAGUAGCAGUAGUAGUAGAAGCAGCAGUAGUAGCAGUAGUAGCAGCAGCAGUAGUAGUAGUAGAAGUAGCAGUAGCAGUAGUAGUAGAAGUAGCAGUAGCAGUAGUAGUAGAAGCAGCAGUAGUAGCAGUAAGUAGCAGCAGCAGUAGUAGUAGUAGAAGUAGCAGUAGCAGUAGUAGUAGAAGUAGCAGUAGCAGUAGUAGUAGAAGCAGCAGUAGUAGUAGUAACAGUAGCAGCAGCAGUAGCAGCAGCAGCAGUAGAGGCAGUAGUAGUAGAAGAAGUGGCGGUGGCAGUAACAGUAACAGCAGUAGUAGUAGAGGCAGCAGUAGUAGUAGAAGUAGCAGUAGCAGUAGUAGUAGAAGUAGCAGUAGCAGUAGUAGCAGUAACAGUAGCAGCAGUAUCAGCCCCAAUAGUAUUUACAGCAGCAGUAGCAGAAGUGAAUCUGAAGGAGAGAAAGAAGGCAGAGAGAGAGAGAUCUGUAAAGGUACAUUAAGGCUUUGUUUGGGCCAAGAAGGAUCUGUGUAA
ensembl:lncRNA